UCGUUAUCCUUCAAACUAUACGUACCAGACCGAAAAUGUGACUAUGGCAAAUAAACCAAUAGGUAUAGCAAUUGAUCCGUUAUACAACCAUGUGUAUUGGAUAGAACGAUAUACAGGAAAGCUUUAUGAAUGUAAUAUGGAUGGGUCAAAUCAAUUGUUAAUACUACAGGAUGAUCCAAUGUUUGCUUUAACAUUAGAUGUUACUAACAGAUGGGUGUAUUACAGUAUAAUUGACACCGCAAACAACGUAAUAAGGCGAGCUAGAUUGAAUGGGACUGAAAUACAGACUUUUACAGAUAUUCAUACACAAACAGUAUCUGGUUUGAGCAUAGAUUCCAACGAAGGGCACAUUUAUUGGAUGGAGUAUAUAACUGGGGAUUUGAUGUCUUCAAAUAUUAAAGGAACUGCCGUAUCACAAGUUUUCAUGACGAGUACUACCAACACAAAUAGAGGCAUCCAUGCAUAUAAUAACAUAAUAUACUGUUCAAAUGGCAAUCAAGUACAAAAGGUCACAGUUUCAUCAGUAGUUACAGCGAAUGUCAUAUUCACAGACAAAGAACAAAUUUAUGGUGUAUUGAUUUACAAUGAAAAUAGUAAGUAUG